GCCGCUGUAGCACAAAGGUAGUGCGUUGCCUUCCUACGUGCUUAUGUAAUCCGCUUACGUAAUCAGGCAAAGGUUGUGGGUUCGAGCCCCAUCAGCGGUU